GCCCUCGUAGUGAAAUUGGAUAUCACGAUAGGCUUCGAACCUAUUAUUGGGGGUUCAAAUCCCUCCGAGGGCA
rnacentral:tRNA from 1 species